CUGGCUUCCCAGCAAAGCGGGAGGAGGAACGGAAGGGAGCCCUUACAGAGCCCCUUCCAUCCCUGAUCCUGCUUCGCUGGGAAGCCAG
rnacentral:miRNA from 1 species